UACAGAGGUCUCAAGCGUUGUUCGGAUUCAUUGGGCGUAAAGGGUGCGUAGGCGGCGCGGUAAGUCGGGUGUGAAAUCUCGGAGCUUAACUCCGAAACUGCAUUCGAUACUGCCGUGCUUGAGGACUUGGAGAGGAGACUGGAAUUUACGGUGUAGCGGUGAAAUGCGUAGAUAUCGUAAGGAAGACCAGUGGCGAAGGCGGGUCUCUGGACAGUUCCUUGACGCUGAGGCACGAAGGUCAGGGGAGCAAACGGG
rnacentral:rRNA from 1 species